rnacentral:rRNA from 1 species
CUAUGCGCCUUGCCAGCCCGCUCAGUCAGAGUUUGAUCCUGGCUCAGGACGAACGCUGGCGGCGUGCUUAACACAUGCAAGUCGAACGGGGAGUUAGCAAUAACUCCCAGUGGCGAACGGGUGAGUAACGCGUAGACAACCUGCCCUUGAGAUGGGGACAACGUUCCGAAAGGAGCGCUAAUACCGAAUGUUGUGGAAGAGAUGCAUAUCGAUUCUACUAAAGGUGGCCUCUGAACAUGCUACCGCUCAAGGAGGGGUCUGCGUCUGAUUAGCUAGUUGGUGAGGUAACGGCUCACCAAGCGACGAUCAGUAGCCGGUCUGAGAGGAUGAACGGCCACACUGGGACUGAGACACGGCCCAG